CACGACUACAUUAGAUACCCGUGUAGUCCCAGCCGUAAACGAUGUGCGUUAGGUGUAUCGACGACCACGAGUCGUCGAGGUGCCGAAGGGAAACCGUGAAACGUACCGCCUGGGAAGUACGGUCGCAAGGCUGAAACUUAAAGGAAUUGGCGGGGGAGCACCACAACAGGUGGAGCCUGCGGUUUAAUUGGACUCAACGCCGGAAAUCUCACCGGAUAAGACAGCGGAAUGAUUGCCGGGCUGAAGACUCUGCAUGACUAGCUG
rnacentral:rRNA from 1 species